rnacentral:rRNA from 1 species
UUUUGGACAAUGGGGGCAACCCUGAUCCAGCAAUGCCGCGUGAGUGAAGAAGGCCUUCGGGUUGUAAAGCACUUUCAGUCAGGAGGAAAGGUUAGUAGUUAAUACCUGCUAGCUGUGACGUUACUGACAGAAGAAGCACCGGCUAACUCCGUGCCAGCAGCCGCGGUAAUACGGAGGGUGCGAGCGUUAACCGGAAUUACUGGGCGUAAAGCGUACGCAGGCGGUUUGUUAAGCGAGAUGUGAAAGCCCCGGGCUCAACCUGGGAACUGCAUUUCGAACUGGCAAACUAGAGUGUGAUAGAGGGUGGUAGAAUUUCAGGUGUAGCGGUGAAAUGCGUAGAGAUCUGAAGGAAUACCGAUGGCGAAGGCAGCCACCUGGGUCGACACUGACGCUCAUUACGAAA